GACGAACGCUGGCGGCGUGCUUAACACAUGCAAGUCGAACGGUGAAGGGACUGGUUUUGCUGGUCCUGGAUGAGUGGCGAACGGGUGAGUAACACGUGAGUAACCUGCCCCCUUCUUCUGGAUAACCGCAUGAAAGUGUGGCUAAUACGGGAUAUUCUGGGUCUGUCGCAUGGUGGGCCUGGGAAAGAUUGCGCCUUUUUUGGUGUUUUUGGUGGGGGAUGGGCUCGCGGCCUAUCAGCUUGUUGGUGGGGUGAUGGCCUACCAAGGCGGUGACGGGUAGCCGGCCUGAGAGGGUGGACGGUCACACUGGGACUGAGACACGGCCCAGACUCCUACGGGAGACAGCAGUGGGGAAUAGUGCACAAUGGGCGCAAGCCUGAUGCAGCGACGCCGCGUGAGGGAUGGAGGCCUUCGGGUUGUGAACCUCUUUCGCCAGUGAAGCAGGCCUGCCUCUUUUUGUGGGUGGGUUGACGGUAGCUGGAUAAGAAGCGCCGGCUAACUACGUG
rnacentral:rRNA from 1 species